GUAGAGUAAAUAUUGCGCGUAAAGUGUCCUGAGGAUGGGAAGUUGCCUGGGAACGAAGGAAGCUUGGAAUUCCACGAUGCAAUAUUGCGUCCGCUA
rnacentral:ncRNA from 1 species